UACGUAGGGUGCAAGCGUUGUUCGGAAUUACUGGGCGUAAAGGGCGCGUAGGCGGUCUCGUAAGUCCUGUGUGAAAUCCCUCGGCUCAACUGAGGAACUGCACGGGAAACUGCUUGGCUUGAGUUCGGGAGAGGGAAGCGGGAUUCCGGGUGUAGCGGUGAAAUGCGUAGAUAUCCGGAGGAACACCGGUGGCGAAGGCGGCUUCCUGGACCGAUACUGACGCUGAGGCGCGAAAGCGUGGGGAGCGAACAGG
rnacentral:rRNA from 1 species